rnacentral:rRNA from 1 species
AGCAGUAGGGAAUCUUCCACAAUGGACGAAAGUCUGAUGGAGCAACGCCGCGUGAGUGAAGAAGGGUUUCGGCUCGUAAAGCUCUGUUGGUAGUGAAGAAAGAUAGAGGUAGUAACUGGCCUUUAUUUGACGGUAAUUACUUAGAAAGUCACGGCUAACUACGUGCCAGCAGCCGCGGUAAUACGUAGGUGGCAAGCGUUGUCCGGAUUUAUUGGGCGUAAAGCGAGUGCAGGCGGUUCAAUAAGUCUGAUGUGAAAGCCUUCGGCUCAACCGGAGAAUUGCAUCAGAAACUGUUGAACUUGAGUGCAGAAGAGGAGAGUGGAACUCCAUGUGUAGCGGUGAAAU